CAAUCUCCCAAAACAAGUCACUCAUCUGAACAUGGCUACAUAAAUCAAAAGCAUGACUUACCUGGACAACGUUGGAGCCAGAUCUGGGCAAACAACAGGAAGAGCAUGAGUAGCUCCACAAAGAACUUCAUGAUUACAAAUCCCAGGCAGAGUUAGAGACUGAUUGAUUAAUAAGAGUUGCGAGUAGAGCUCCCUGCCAAAGUGAUUUUGUAGUGGAAGCCCCACCCAUCCAAUCUCUUCAGGUGUUGGCAGUUAUUCUACUCCUUUAGAGAGGUCAAAGAAAGCCCUGUGAGGACCUCCACAACUUGAGAACAGUCAGACCCUUUUUGUCCCUGGUCUGCUUUGGGUCUAGGCACCAUGAUCAUGAAGAGCUUUGCCUUCAAUUUAUGAUAUCUGAGGUUUGGAAACUGGGAAUCCUCAGUCUAGUGUGGACAACUUGUAUCGACGAAAGACUUACGGUCAUUGUGGAGAAAAAUAUUUUUCGAAAUGGUACAAUUCUGCAACCUAACCAAGUGAUUCUGGGAAAUGGCUGUCAAGUAACUUCAUCUUCUCCAUAUCGAUUAUACUUGUCCUAUAGCCUAUCGCAAUGUGGGAUAGAUGUACAGAUAACACCCGACAUGAUUUAUAUCCGCAGUGUUUUGUACUUUUUAUGUGAAGAACGGUUACCUUGUCCCUGUGUUACUAUACCUCUGGUUUGUCAGAUUGCCAGGACAUUCACUCUAGAAGAAUUCAUUUUUGGCGAUUGGUCUGAUCUAGAUAACAUCUUUGCUCUUUGA
rnacentral:lncRNA from 1 species